rnacentral:rRNA from 1 species
AUUGAACGCUGGCGGCAGGCCUAACACAUGCAAGUCGAGCGAGCGGCGGACGGGUGAGUAAUGUAUGGGGACUGCCCGAUCGAGGGGGAUAACUACUGGAAACGGUGGCUAAUACCGCAUACUAUCGGAUAACCCAUAUGGGAUUAGCUAGUAGGUGGGGUAACGGCUCACCUAGGCGACGAUCUCUAGCCGCUCUGAGAGGAUGAUCGGCCACCCUGGGACUGAGAACCGGCCCAGAUUCCUAGGGAGGCAGCAGUGGGGAAUAUUGGACAAUGGGCGAAAGCCUGAUGGAGCCAUGCCGCGUGUAUGAGGAAGGCCUUAGGGUUGUAAAGUACGUUCAGCGGGGAGGCGUUACCCGCAGAGGAAGCACCGUCUAACUCCGUGCCAGCCGCCGCGGUAAUAC